rnacentral:rRNA from 1 species
GUAUAAAUAAAUUUAUAUGGUGAAACUGCGAAUGGCUCAUUAAAUCAGUUAUGAUGUACGUGAUAAAUUCUUACUACUUGGAUAACCGUGGUAAUUCUAGAGCUAAUACAUGCAAAAAAGCCUCGACUUCGGAAGGGGUGCACUUAUUAGAUUAAACCAACGCUGGGGUAAAAUCCAGAUUUCUUUGGUGAUUCAUAAUAAUUAAGCGGAUCGCAUGGCCUUGUGCCGGCGACGAUCCACUCCAUUUUCUGCCCUAUCAUGGUUGAGAUUGUAAGGUAGUGGCUUACAAUGCCAGCAACGGGUAACGGGGAAUUAGGGUUCGAUUCCGGAGAGGGAGCCUGAGAAACGGCUACCACAUCCAAGGAAGGCAGCAGGCGCGCAAAUUACCCAAUCCCGAUACGGGGAGGUAGUGACAAUAAAUAACAAUGCAGGGCUUUUUAAGUCUUGCAAUUGGAAUGAGUACAAUUUAAAUCCCUUAACGAGGAUCAAUUGGAGGGCAAGUCUGGUGCCAGCAGCCGCGGUAAUUCCAGCUCCAAUAGCGUAUAUUAAAGUUGUUGCAGUUAAAACGUCCGUAGUCAAAUUUUAGUCCUUUAGGUAAGGUGUCUUGGUCUUCAUUGAUCAAGUUCGCUUUUACCAGGACUUUUUUUCUAGCUUCGUAGGCGGUGGCUUCGGCUGUCGUCUGCUUCUGGCUAGAUGAUUACCAUGAGCAAAUCAGAGUGUUUAAAGCAGGCUUUUAAGCUUGAAUGUGUUAGCAUGGAAUAAUGAAAUAUGACCCGAGUCCUAUUUCGUUGGUUCAGGAACUUGAGUAAUGAUGAAUAGAAACGGUUGGGGGCAUUUGUAUUUGGUCGCUAGAGGUGAAAUUCUUGGAUUGACCGAAGACAAACUACUGCGAAAGCAUUUGACCCAGGACGUUUUCAUUGAUCAAGGUCUAAAGUUAAGGGAUCGAAAACGAUUAGAUACCGUUGUAGUCUUAACCACAAACUAUGCCGACUAGAGAUUGGGCUUGUUCAUAAUGACUAGCUCAGCAUCUUAGCGAAAGUAAAGUUUUUGGGUUCUGGG